UACGGAGGGUGCAAGCGUUAUCCGGAUUUACUGGGUUUAAAGGGUGUGUAGGCGGACUUUUAAGUCAGGGGUGAAAUCCCGAGGCUCAACCUCGGAACUGCCUUUGAUACUAUUGGUCUUGAAUCUUGUUGAGGUGGGCGGAACGGGUCAUGUAGCGGUGAAAUGCAUAGAUAUGACCCGGAACACCGAUUGCGAAGGCAGCCCGCUAAGCAAGCAUUGACGCUGAGGCACGAAAAGCGUGGGGAUCAAACAGG
rnacentral:rRNA from 1 species